rnacentral:rRNA from 1 species
AUACGUAGGUGGCAAGCGUUGUCCGGAAUUAUUGGGCGUAAAGCGCGCGCAGGUGGUUCCUUAAGUCUGAUGUGAAAGCCCCCGGCUCAACCGGGGAGGGUCAUUGGAAACUGGGGAACUUGAGUGCAGAAGAGGAUAGUGGAAUUCCAAGUGUAGCGGUGAAAUGCGUAGAGAUUUGGAGGAACACCAGUGGCGAAGGCGACUGUCUGGGCUGUAACGGACACUGAGGCGCGAAAGCGUGGGGAGCAAACAGGAUUAGAUCCCCUGGUAGUCCACGCCGUAAACGAUGAGUGCUAAGUGUUGGGGGGUUUCCGCCCCUCAGUGCUGCAGCUAACGCAUUAAGCACUCCGCCUGGGGAGUACGGUCGCAAGACUGAAACUUAAAGGAAUUGACGGGG